CAUAUAUGCAACUACCUACAGAAACAUCAGCACACAUGAACCUAAGACAUUUCCGCACAAGGAUAUUUUCCACUCUCUAGUUCAUUAAAUUCAGGUGGGAAGCUGGAUCAUGAAAGUGAUCAAGUUUGUCAUGACUCAUUCAUAAUCUGAACGAUUACGGUGUGCAAUCACCACCAGGACAACGAAAGCAACAUUUUAGGUCAAUUCUCUCUACAGUUUAAGUUGCUUCUUUAUGGCAACAGUACUUCAGUGUCCAUGAUCAAGUCAAGUUUGACCUUUUGAGAA